GGAAUCUUGCGCAAUGGGCGAAAGCCUGACGCAGCCAUGCCGCGUGUAUGAUGAAGGUCUUAGGAUUGUAAAAUACUUUCACCGGGGAAGAUAAUGACGGUACCCGGAGAAGAAGCCCCGGCUAACUCCGUGCCAGCAGCCGCGGUAAUACGGGGGGGGCAAGCGUUGUUCGGAAUUACUGGGCGUAAAGGGCUCGUAGGCGGCCAACUAAGUCGGAUGUGAAAUCCCCAGGCUCAACCUGGGAACUGCAUCCGAUACUGGAUGGCUUGAAUUCGGGAGAGGGAUGCAGAAUUCCAGGUGUAGCGGUGAAAUGCGUAGAUAUCUGGAGGAAUACCGGUGGCGAAGGCGGCAUCCUGGACCGACAUUGACGCUGAGGAGCGAAAGCUAGGGGAGCAAAC
rnacentral:rRNA from 1 species